ACACACUGAUGCUGGACAAUAAACUGUUUCCUUUGUACCAGGAGAGAGUCACAUGACUCACAUUCAACACUGAACACACCAGUGAACAAUUCUGACUUGUUCU